GUAAACGUAGUGCUUAUGUCCAUGCCAAAGGGAUCCGAUGGCAAAAGAUCAAGAAUGUCUUUAUGCACGGACUCCUGUGAGCCACACCUAUCGGUCCUAUCCCUCCCAUAAUCAAAGUAAUUCUCAACCUUGUCCUGUAUACCAUCCACAAGGUACCCAUUCGCAAUCCUCAUUGGUGAAACCAAAUUUUCAUCAGGAAGAUGCCCUGGGAAAAGGGGUCGAUGAGAAAAAUUCAAGGCCAUUCUAUGUAAAAACCUAAACCCCAAUUUCGUCUAAACGAAGCCAAACCCAAGCAGGAAAAAGUUAUCAGAGGGAAAAGAAAGGGAAUUUC
rnacentral:misc_RNA from 1 species